rnacentral:rRNA from 1 species
CUGGUUGAUCCUGCCAGUAGCAUAUGCUUGUCUCAAAGAUUAAGCCAUGCAUGUCUAAGUACAAGCCAUAUUAUGGUGAAACCGCGAAUGGCUCAUUAAAUCACACCUAAUCUACUGGGAUGUUAGCAGUUACUUGGAUAACUGAGGUAAUUCUUGAGCUAAUACACGCGAAAAAUCCCGACUCACGAAGGGAUGCUUUUAUUAGAUCAAAACCAAACAGCUUCGGCUGUACAACUUGGUGACUCUGAAUAACUUUGGGCUGAUCGCAUUGCCUUGAGCAGGCGACAAUUCCUCCGAAGGUGUGCCCUAUCAACUGUCGACUGUGAUAUAGACGCUCAGUGGUUUUGACGGGUAACGGGGAAUCAGGGUUCGAUUCCGGAGAGGGAGCCUUAAAAACGGCUACCACAUCCAAGGAAGGCAGCAGGCACGCAAAUUACCCAAUGAACGAAGUUCGAGGUAGUGACGAAAAAUAACAAUACAAGACUCAUCCGAGGCCUUGUAAUUGGAAUGAGUACACUUUAAAACCGUUUCACGAGGAUCUAUUGGAGGGCAAGUCUGGU